GUGCCAGCCGCCGCGGUAAUACCGGCAGCCCAAGUGAUGGCCGCUGUUAUUGGGCCUAAAGCGUCCGUAGCUGGCCGCACGAGUCCGUCGGGAAAUCCGCCCGCUCAACGGGCGGCCGUCCGGCGGAACCUGUGUGGCUUGGGACCGGGAGGCCUGAGGGGUACGAUCGGGGUAGGAGUGAAAUCCUGUAAUCCUGGACGGACCGCCGGUGGCGAAAGCACUUCAGGAGAACGGAUCCGACAGUGAGGGACGAAAGCCAGGGUCUCGAACCGGAUUAGAUACCCGGGUAGUCC
rnacentral:rRNA from 1 species